CCCCUCUCAGGAUCGCAGCUGGGGAAUUUCCACUACUCUACCAGUCUCGACUAUGGGAGGGAGAGUCAAGCAGAGGUAUACCCAUUCCAUUCCUAGCUUGGGCAGUGGCUAGCGAGUGGACGGUAAUCUGCUUCAAGU
rfam:Ornithorhynchus anatinus chromosome X5, whole genome shotgun sequence.